rnacentral:rRNA from 1 species
GCGAAACGUGUGCACCUGCUUUNUUGGGANANCUUUCAAAGAGAUAUACCCAUAUAUGUGAUGCUCAUCGACAUGAACUCCGUGAUAAAAUGGGCCGCGCAAAUAAAUAUUGUGAGUACGGUCACAGUUACAACUUAGGGCUGAAAGUGAUCCCCCACUGUAUGAACGACAAAUCUACGGGAGGAGAUUUGGCAUGGUGAAAGCUGAUCAGCAUCCGGUGAAGAGAUGCCUNUGGNUGUAACUCUUUGUUAGGAUAACUACCUCGUGAGUAUGAGGUAUAUAGAUAGACGGUAAUCGUGCAAGCGGGUAUAGGAGGUGCAGCGUUAUCGGAUUAUUGGGUUAAGGGUCCGAGGGAUCUGUAAGUCAGGGAANUCAGUUAAUGUGAAAUGCAUGAUACUUGGAGGUCUCUUGAAGUGUUGUUGAAGUAAGCUUGGGAUAAAUUGUGUAGCGGGAAAAUGCAUAGAUUUUUACUUUGAACACCAACUUGGGAAGGCAGGGGUUACUAAAGCAAAAACUGACGGCUGACUUGGAAGAAAGCGUGGGGAGCGAACAAGGAGUUAGAUUACCCUGGUAGUCCACACGCCCGUUAACACGAAUGAC